AUACGUAGGGAGCAAGCGUUGUCCGGAAUUACUGGGCGUAAAGGGUGCGUAGGCGGUUUGUCAAGUCGAAUGUGAAAUACCGGGGCUCAACCCCGGGGCUGCAUUCGAAACUGGCAGACUUGAGUGCAGGAGAGGAAAGCGGAAUUCCUAGUGUAGCGGUGAAAUGCGUAGAUAUUAGGAGGAACACCGGUGGCGAAGGCGGCUUUCUGGACUGUAACUGACGCUGAGGCACGAAAGCGGGGGGAGCAAACAGGUUUAGAUCCCCUGGUAGUCCACGCCGUAAACGAUGGAUACUAGGUGUGGGCGUCAUAAGGCGUCCGUGCCGCAGCAAACGCAUUAAGUAUCCCGCCUGGGGAGUACGGCCGCAAGGCUGAAACUCAAAUGAAUUGACGGGG
rnacentral:rRNA from 1 species